rnacentral:rRNA from 1 species
AGUGAACGCUGGCGGUAGGCCUAACACAUGCAAGUCGAACGGCAGCACAGUAAGAGCUUGCUCUUACGGGUGGCGAGUGGCGGACGGGUGAGGAAUACAUCGGAAUCUACUUUUUCGUGGGGGAUAACGUAGGGAAACUUACGCUAAUACCGCAUACUACCUACGGGUGAAAGCAGGGGAUCUUCGGACCUUGCGCGAUUGAAUGAGCCGAUGUCGGAUUAGCUAGUUGGCGGGGUAAAGGCCCACCAAGGCGACGAUCCGUAGCUGGUCUGAGAGGAUGAUCAGCCACACUGGAACUGAGACACGGUCCAGACUCCUACGGGAGGCAGCAGUGGGGAAUAUUGGACAAUGGGCGCAAGACUGAUCCAGCCAUACCGCGUGGGUGAAGAAGGCCUUCGGGUUGUAAAGCCCUUUUGUUGGGAAAGAAAAGCAGCAGGUUAAUACCACGCUGUUCUGACGGUACCCAAAGAAUAAGCACCGGCUAACUUCGUG